rnacentral:misc_RNA from 1 species
UUUCCGUAGGUGAACCUGCGGAAGGAUCAUUAAAGUUAUAGUCCCCUGGCCCUCUGGGCUGGGGUCUUCUAUACCACCCUUUGUUUAUUAUACCUUUGUUGCUUUGGCAGGCCUGCCCUCGGGCUGCUGGCUCCGGCCGGCGAGCGCCUGCCAGAGGACCUAAACUCUGUUUGUCUAUAAUGUCUGAGUACUAUAUAAUAGUUAAAACUUUCAACAACGGAUCUCUUGGUUCUG